GGAGGAUUACCCAAGGCCGGCUGAAGGGAACGGUCUUGAAAACCGUCAGGCGUGUAAAAGCGUGCGUGGGUUCGAAUCCCACAUCCUCCU
rnacentral:tRNA from 1 species